AUACAUUCUGAGAAGAAGGAUAGUAUUUCAGUGGAUGACUACAGCGAGCCGGAGGAUGGUGGAAGCCCGGCGUACAAAACUGAAAGAAGCGCCCUUUGGAGAAACUCCGGUGAAUCAAGUAAUCGGAGGCGGGGAGACACCCGUUAUCCUGGUUAAUGAGCAGGUCUUUUCUGGUUGAUGAAUAUAUUCAUCGAUUUGUAUAAGGCAACGAGAGUGGUACCGCGGACUGAUAUCCGUCUCUUUU
rnacentral:ncRNA from 1 species